GACGAACGCUGGCGGCGUGCUUAACACAUGCAAGUCGAACGGUGAAGCGCCUUCCUUUUUGGUGGGUGUGGAUGAGUGGCGAACGGGUGAGUAACACGUGAGUAACCUGCCCCCUUCUUCUGGAUAACCGCAUGAAAGUGUGGCUAAUACGGGAUAUUCUGGGUCUGUCGCAUGAUGGGUCUGGGAAAGAUUUUGUUUCGGUGGGGGAUGGGCUCGCGGACUAUCAGCUUGUUGGUGGGGUGAUGGCCUACCAAGGCGGUGACGGGUAGCCGGCCUGAGAGGGUGGACGGUCACACGGGGACUGAGACACGGCCCAGACUCCUACGGGAGGCAGCAGUGGGGAAUAUUGCACAAUGGGCGCAAGCCUGAUGCAGCGACGCCGCGUGAGGGAUGGAGGCCUUCGGGUUGUGAACCUCUUUCGCCAGUGAAGCAGGCCUGCCUCGUUUGUGGGUGGGUUGACGGUAGCUGGAUAAGAAGCGCCGGCUAACUACGUG
rnacentral:rRNA from 1 species